rnacentral:rRNA from 1 species
UAGCCGCCGCGGCAAUACCGGCGGCCCGAGUGGCGGUCACUAUUAUUGGGCUUAAAGCGUCCGUAGCCGGGUUGGGAAGUCCUCCGGGAAAUCUGGCCGCUUAACGGUCCGAAUGCCGGAGGAUACUCCCAGCCUAGGGAGCGGGGGAGGCCGAGGGGAUUCCCGGAGUAGGGGGGAAAUCCUAUAAUCCCGGGAGGACCACCUGUGGCGAGGGCGCUCGGCUGGGACGCGUCCGACGGUGAGGGACGAAGGCCAGGGGAGCAAACCGGAUUAGAUACCCGGGUAGUCCUGGCUGUAAACGAUGCGGACUUUGUGUCGGACAAGCUAUGAGCUUGUCCGGUGCCGGAGGGAAACCGUUAAGUCCGCCGCCUGGGGAGUACGGCCGCAAGGCUGAAACUUAAAGGAAUUGGCGGG